UACGUAGGGGGCAAGCGUUGUCCGGAUUUAUUGGGCGUAAAGAGCGUGUAGGCGGCCAGGUAGGUCGGUUGUGAAAACUGGAGGCUCAACCUUCAGAGGUCGACCGAAACCAUCUGGCUAGAGUCCGGGAGAGGAGAGUGGAAUUCCUGGUGUAGCGGUGAAAUGCGCAGAUAUCAGGAGGAACACCGAUGGCGAAGGCAGCUCGCUGGGACGGUACUGACGCUGAGGCGCGAAAGCCAGGGGAGCGAACGGG
rnacentral:rRNA from 1 species